AUGACAGAUUUAUUUAGCGGGAUACAAGCUGCUAUGGUGAUUAAUCGUGUAGAAAAUAGUGACCAAUCCCCAGAAGAUUGGGUUAGCGACGAGGAUGGUUCAGGUGGUUCCACUGGAUUACCAGGGACACCAUGUUUUACUUCCAGGCUUUCAUUGCUCAAAGUUGGUUCAGUUGUUGCCAAGUUCAGUGAUCUCAAGCGGCAGCUAGUUAUGGAGACUGGUUUUGGGGGGUUUCUAGAGGUGAAGGCAUGGCAGAAGAUUAAUCUGAAGUAUAGCGCUUUUUUAAUGGACCGAGUGCAUGUAGAAUCCAGCACAAUCAACCUUGAGGAACAGGGCGUGCUUGAACUGUCCGAACAGAAUCUUAAUUAUGUUUUUGGCACCCCCUCCGGUGAAUCCGAUAUAAACGGCGAAGGUGUCAAGCCAUCAGAAGCCUACAUCGAGUACACCCGAAUGGCAGCAUCAUUCAGCGACAAAGGCACACAUAGCCUAAAAGCAGCUGAAAAUGUUUUGCUUGGAGCUUUAUCAGAAACGUCCUCCCAAAUACAGCAGGACUGUUUCAAGAUUGCAUUUGUUAUUUUUAUAAUCGGUCAUGUGCUGGCUCCCACCUCCAAACAUGAUUAUAUAUCCAUAGACUUCUGGGCUGCACUGAAUGACAUUAGCAAGAUCAAGAGUUGGAACUGGGGAGGGUAUGUACUGAAAAACUUGUUUCAAGCCGUCAGAAAGUUCAAGACAGAUGUUUCAAAGAGAAACUCAACCAUCCACAUAGUUGGUUGUCACUUGUUUCUGCAGGUUUUUGUUCUCGAUUGUCUCGACCUUGGUAUACUAAACAAGCCACGAGAAAUAACCCCACGCAUAGGUUUGUAUGAUUAUGAUUCAAUGAGGAAGAUGGUUGAGAAGAUUGAAGUGAACAUAUCUCCUGGGGUGAUUUCCUACCACGGGGGAGCGGUUCGGCUCGAGCUCUCUGUUAGCCAGCUGAUUGAACUCCAGGCGAAAGAUACAUGCUCCCUAAAUCCCCCCAAACAAGCAACAGCCCCUAAAAGAGCAAGCAUACCAUCCACGCCAAUGAUACGGUGUAAUUACACAAGGACUGGCCCACAAGAUUUUUCAAAUUACAUCCGCACAAAAUACCCGAGCAUAUCAGCAGAGAAGCUGGGUAUUCUUCUUCGCGAGCAGAAUGCACGUGGUCUCGCUAAUAUAACAGAAAUGUGCCAAGCAUUCCAGACAAACAUGUUCACUUUCACAGACAAGCUUAUGGCCUGUCUAGCAGAAAGUUGUACCUGCUGCAAGGCAUUCGGCCGCAAAUCUUGCAUUUUGAAUGGUGAAGGCAUAACCAACUGUCAACCACAUCCUACAACAUCAACAGUCCAGAACCAAUUCAACACUCCUUUAGUAAGCAAGGUUGGGCCACGCUUGCCUGCACCAGGCCACCAUGAAGGAGCCAUGUCAGCUACCAGCACAGCAUCUAGAAAAAGGGAAGGAAGUAUAUCAUCUAGCGUGCACUCUGGGUUAGCAAAGAAGCAAUGA
rnacentral:rRNA from 1 species